rnacentral:lncRNA from 1 species
ACUUUCAUCUAUAGAGGAUCUUAGGAGGGUUUUGGCAGUAUGGUCGUCGACUCUUUUGUCUCCAUCAUUCAUGUAUUCACUUAGACAUUAUACUUUAAUCCAUAUUUGGUUAAAAAUACUAAGAUACAAUGUUGGAUUAAAAUACAUAGUCUUCAUAUUGAAUAUUGGAAAUAAUAAAUUCUUUUUUCAAUCGCAAGAGAUAUUAGUGUCUCUCUAAUCUUAGAUGAAGCAACUAGAGUAAUUUUUU